CGGAAUUAUUGGGCGUAAAGGGCUCCCAUUGAGUUCGUCGCGUCCGGUGUGAAAGUCCAUCGCUUAACGGUGGAUCCGCGCCGGGUACGGGCGGGCUUGAGUGCGGUAGGGGAGACUGGAAUUCCCGGUGUAACGGUGGAAUGUGUAGAUAUCGGGAAGAACACCAAUGGCGAAGGCAGGUCUCUGGGCCGUUACUGACGCUGAGGAGCGAAAGCGUGGGGAGCGAACAGGAUUAGAUACCCUGGUAGUCCACGCCGUAAACGGUGGAUGCUGGAUGUGGGGCCCGUUCCACGGGUUCCGUGUCGGAGCUAACGCGUUAAGCAUCCCGCCUGGGGAGUACGGCCGCAAGGCUAAAACUCAAAGAAAUUGACGGGGGCCCGCACAAGCGGCGGAGCAUGCGGAUUAAUUCGAUGCAACGCGAAGAACCUUACCUGGGCUUGACAUGUUCCCGACGGUCGUAGAGAUACGGCUUCCCUUCGGGGCGGGUUCACAGGUGGUGCAUGGUCGUCGUCAGCUCGUGUCGUGAGAUGUUGGGUUAAGUCCCGCAACGAGCGCAACCCUCGCCCCGUGUUGCCAGCGGAUUAUGCCGGGAACUCACGGGGGACCGCCGGGGUUAACUCGGAGGAAGGUGGGGAUGACGUCAGAUCAUCAUGCCCCUUACGUCCAGGGCUUCACGCAUGCUACAAUGGCCGGUANCACGGGAUGCGACGNCGCGAACGCGAGCGGAUCCCNNUGAAACGGUCUCAGUUCGGAUCGCAGUCUGCNACUCGACUGCGUGAAGGCGGAGUCGCUAGUAAUCGCGAAUCAGNCACGUCGCGGUGAAUGCGUUCCCCGGGCUUGUACACACCGCCCGUCAGUCAUGAAAGUGGGCAGCACCGAAGCCGGUGGCUAACCCCUGUGGGAUGAGGCGUCUAAGUGAGCUCGUGAUGGGACUAGUCGUAC
rnacentral:rRNA from 1 species